rnacentral:rRNA from 1 species
AUUGAACGCUGGCGGCAUGCCUUACACAUGCAAGUCGAACGGUAACAGGUUAAGCUGACGAGUGGCGAACGGGUGAGUAAUAUAUCGGAACGUGCCCAGUCGUGGGGGAUAACGUAGCGAAAGCUACGCUAAUACCGCAUACGAUCUACGGAUGAAAGCGGGGGAUCGCAAGACCUCGCGCGAUAGGAGCGGCCGAUAUCAGAUUAGGUUGUUGGUGAGGUAAAAGCUCACCAUGCCUGCGAUCUGUAGCUGGUCUGAGAGGACGACCAGCCACACUGGAACUGAGACACGGUCCAGACUCCUACGGGAGGCAGCAGUGGGGAAUUUUGGACAAUGGACGCAAGUCUGAUCCAGCAAUGCCGCGUGCUGGACGAAGGCCUUCGGGUUGUAAACUGCUUUUGUACGGAACGAAACGGUGAGCUCUAAUACAGUUUGCUAAUGACGGUACCGUAAGAAUAAGCACCGGCUAACUACGUGCCAGCCGCCGCGGUAA